GACCAGACUCCUACGGGAGGCAGCAGUAGGGAAUCUUCCACAAUGGGCGCAAGCCUGAUGGAGCAACACCGCGUGAGUGAAGAAGGGUUUCGGCUCGUAAAGCUCUGUUCUUGGAGAAAAACGUGCGUGCGAGUAACUGUUCACGCAGUGACGGUAUCCAACCAGAAAGUCACGGCUAACUACGUGCCAGCAGCCGCCGCAAUACGUAGGUGGCAAGCGUUAUCCGGAUUUUUUGGGCGUAAAGCGAGCGCAGGCGGUUGCUUAGGUCUGAUGUGAAAGCCUUCGGCGUAACCGAAGAAGUGCAUCGGAAACCGGGCGACUUGAGUGCAGAAGAGGACAGUGGAACUCCAUGUGUAGCGGUGGAAUGCGUAGAUAUAUGGAAGAACGCCAGUGGCGAAGGCGGCUGUCUGGUCUGCAACUGACGCUGAGGCUCGAAAGCAUGGGUAGCGAACAGGAUUAGAUACCCUAGUACUC
rnacentral:rRNA from 1 species